AAUAUAUAAAAAUAAUAUAAAAUAAUUAUAAUUCAAUUUAUAUAUUAAUAGUUCC
rnacentral:tRNA from 1 species